UGACCGAAGGGGGCUUGCUGUGCGGGGUGGGGGUUGGUGGUACUUGCUAAGGUGGCUGGCGUAACUACUUUGUGCCGAUGGUUUGAUUGCACGAGUGGGAAUGUUGUGCCACUGCCCACGGGGUUACUCUCAUGUACUCCCUCCGUUCGGAAUUACUUGUCGCAAAAAUGAAUGUAUCUAGACGCCUUUUAAUUCUAGAUACAUCCAUUUUCGAGACAAGUAAUUCCGAACGGAGAGAGUAACUGUGUAGGAUAGGAGGUGGCCUGUUGUUACGGAAGGAAACCCCGUGAGUGCUUUGUUAACACUGGGUUCCAAAAAGUAAAUCAUUUGAAUGAUCACUUAGAGUUGUUCUGUUUCAAAUUAGCGUUUUUCACUAACAGGUAUCUUACUCCGACCCUGUUUCAUAGCUUUGGACAUGGAUUUUACAGCUCGAUUAAACAUGUCGUCCCACCUUUCUUCC
rnacentral:lncRNA from 1 species